AUUAAGAUUGUGCAAGAAGAGUAUGGUUGGUUUUAUCCUGCCUGUCGUAAGUGUUUUAAGAAGGUCGUAGCUAAAAGUGAAUACUUAUAGAAUGUUGAAAAUGUUUCGGAUGAUAUUCUUCAAUUGCCUACGACUUCUUUGGUUUGUCCCAAAUGUCAUAGUGAAUGUACAUCUAUCACCACAAAGUUCAAGGUGCAAGUCUGGGUGUAGGAUGGGAGUGGUAGUGUUUCUUUUGUUAUGUUUAAUAGAGAUGUUCAGAAGCUUCUUGGAUUAGCGACGAGUGACAUAAAAGAAAGGCAGGUGAAGGUGAAUGAUAUUGAAUGUUUCCCACAUGAGAUAUUUCGAUUGGUUGAUAAGAAGGUCGCUUUUAAGAUUGAUGUUAUAGAAUUCAAUCUUAAAAAUGACUAUCGUGUUUAUACUGUGCAAAAAACAUGUGAUGAUUCAGUAAUAAUUGCUGAGUUAGUUGGUGGAGAUGGUAAUGGUGAUGAAAAUGCUGAUGAGCUAGUAUAUAAAAUCACUUUUUCAAUCUAUUUAUUUUUGGUUUGAGGUUCAAAAACUGGAUUCUGCACUUUUUUAUAUAAUAUCAUAUAUUACGAUCCUUUAGGUUACUCAAGAAGUAGCUGAAGUUAAAGAUGUUAACUUUUCAGAAUGUUCCCAGGUGUCUGCUAAACGAGCUUCAAGGGAUGUUGUCUCUGUUACGGCCGACUCUUUAGCCGUUGAAGUUGAAAAGGAUUUAGGACCAAGUCCCAAUGGAAAGCGGAUAGUUCAAGAUGUUGAUCUUGUAAAUGUUGGUGAGCUAUCCUCUAAUAUGAGAAGAACCCGGAAGAAGCUAUCUAAGGUUAACAAUUAGAUGCUUAUGAAAAAACAUUUCUUAUGAGAGAUAAGUUGAAACCACUUAUUUUGAAGACUCCUUAUGGUUUUUAUUUAUGUCUGUUAACUGUUGUUUUAACAUAUUGUGGUUAAAAGUUUGGUAUGUAAUGGCUACAAUUUGAAACAUCUAAACUGAUGGAUUUGGUAUGUAAU